rnacentral:rRNA from 1 species
CCUACGGGAGGCAGCAGUGAGGAAUAUUGGUCAAUGGACGAGAGUCUGAACCAGCCAAGUAGCGUGAAGGAUGACUGCCCUAUGGGUUGUAAACUUCUUUUAUAUGGGAAUAAAAUGUUCCACGUGUGGGAUUUUGUAUGUACCAUAUGAAUAAGGAUCGGCUAACUCCGUGCCAGCAGCCGCGGUAAUACGGAGGAUCCGAGCGUUAUCCGGAUUUAUUGGGUUUAAAGGGAGCGUAGGUGGAUUGUUAAGUCAGUUGUGAAAGUUUGCGGCUCAACCGUAAAAUUGCAGUUGAAACUGGCAGUCUUGAGUACAGUAGAGGUGGGCGGAAUUCGUGGUGUAGCGGUGAAAUGCUUAGAUAUCACGAAAAACUCCGAUUGCGAAGGCAGUUCACUGGACUGCAACUGACACUGAGGCUCGAAAGUGUGGGUAUCAAACAGGAUUAGAUACCCGAGUAGUC